AUUGAGAAGGCUUAACCCAAUAAUUUUUUGUUUGUUUCAGAAUCACUAAAUUAUUUACCAGUAUAUCAGCACCAUAUAUGAGGAAGCAGAAUUUCAGAAAAGACAAAAAGAUAAAUCAAAAUAAUUUCUUAGUCUGAAGAUAAGCUGAGCUAUAUGAAGAAUGUAAUAGAUGAAAUGUGAUGCAAGCUGGACGGGACAAUAGAAAUGUCAAGAAAAACAUUUUUUUUUCUUAAUUGUGGAUAAAGUUCAGAGUUAACCUACUGGCCAAAGGCAUCAGUGCCCAGAAGGCUGGGGAUGGUUCUCAGCCAGAAGGAAGGAAAGAGAUGCUGGUGGGAAGGAGCCCAAGACAUUCCUCCUCUGAAAAGGAGGCCAAACCAGAAGAAUAUUUCAGAAAAUGGAUAUAAUAGAGCCUUGAACCACUCCAGGUGCAGUCCUGUACAGCUGUGGAAAGCUUUGUACACUUUCUAACAACUUCUCCAGGAAAAGGUACAACUGCUUCUACUUUGGUAACAUUUGUCUCUCUGUUAAGGAGACUCAAUGGCCAUUUGAUGACACAUGAUUCACUGGUGAACUUUACAGAAAUAGUCUAAAAGGGAAAAGUUGGCCUUUCAGUCAAUCAGCAACCAAUGAAUUAGUUGGAGUGAGAUGGUUCAGAGAUUUAGUCACUGCUGGGUUCAACCUGGUUUCCAGUGAUGGGUGGGGGUGGAGAUCCAGGCAGUGAGGAAAAAGGAAAAUGUAAGAUGAGAAAGAUGUAACUAUAUAGGUCAGUGGGGGCAGGACAACUGUAGCAUCUUGUUUCCUUGAUUAACUACUAUUUAAAUUCAUAAUUUAACCCCCAGGAGGGGGUCCCAGUAGAAGGUCCUUGCCCACUGAAACAGGACCCUUUCUGAACCAUGAAAGGAGAUUCUUCCAAUAGGAAUGUGAUGGUAUAUUUUGGAGAUGAUCAAAGACGGAGAUAGACUGUACUAUGAAAAUAAUAAAUGUCAAUGUUGUUUAGCACCCAUUACCUCACAAUUUAUGAGUCAAUGUUUGUGCAGACUUCUGAGUUCAUAAGGUAAGAGUAAAUAGAAAUAAUUACCAUUAAAUACCAAGUUUUUCAGUUCUCACCCUAAAGGCUGUAUUUACAGAAGCAGUCUUAAACACCUCUCUGAAGAGCCAUUAGCCAAACUGAUGAAAGAGGAAGAUCCUUUCUGAGAGCACUAUAAUUCAGCAAUCACAGCAACAUCUUGGUGUUGGAAAGAACAUAGAGCAGCACUGGAUUAAGACAUACUGAACCACAAGUUCAUAGUUCCUUCUUUCCCAUCAAAGAUACGAAGAAUUGAUCUUUUUAAAGCCACAGCUACUUUGUUGAUAAAAAUGGGGAUAGUAAUAGCAGUUUUUCAAGGUUGGUAUGAAGACUAAGAAGAACAUGUGUAAAAUUCCCAUCAAAAUGCUAGCAUUGGGGCGCCUGGGUGGCUCAGUCGGUUAAGAGUCGGACUUCAGCUCAGGUCAUGAUCUCACAGUUCGUGGGUUCGAGCCCCGCGUCAGGCUCUGUGCUGACAGCUCAGAGCCUAGAGCCUGUUUCAGAUUCUGUGUCUCCCUCUCUCUCUGCCCCUUCCCUGUUUACACUCUGUCUCUGUCUCAAAAAUAAAUAAACAUUAAAAAAAAUUUUUUAAAUGCUAGCAUAUAUUAAAGUUAAAGUGAAUCGUAGCUAUUACAAUGGUGGUCAGAGCUAACCGAUAAAAAGCCUUAUAUGCUAACUACUUUGCGUACUUUCUUCUACCUUUUCUUUUAAAUCCAUUGACUCUAUGCUAGUAUUUAACUUUUUGCCUCAUACUUAUUUUUACCUCUCUGACCAUCUGAAGAUUAAUUGUGCCCCACUGUCUGCUUGACUUUUUCAUCCCAGCUUUACUCCUCAGUGUUCUAUACUAUAUCUCCCCUUGACUCCAUGAUCUGCAUCUAAUGGGCAAGUUCCAUCCAGUCCCUACAUCUACUUUAGAAGUGGGUAGUCGGGGAAUAUCUGUGAAGACUUUAUGGAUGAACUAGGAUAUGAGUUACACCUUGAGAACAGGCAAAAUUGAAACUGAAGAGGACUGUAUGUUUUCUUUCCGAUAUUCCAUAUAGACCACCAAGUUAUGUUUUGCAUUUGCCAUUAUAAUUGCAUCUUUUCUUACUUCAGCAUUUUGGUAUAGCAUUUCAGUAUUCCAAGAAUGGAUGACAUCAUUGUCAGGGACAAAAGAGUUGGCUUAAUUUUUGUCGAUAACAAGCUGGGUUGAUUAUUUCCUGAUGAUACGAUAGUACCUUAAUUCAGAGAUUCCUGCGCUGGUGGGAUCAUGAGUCCAGUUGUCUUCAAAUUGUGAUUUGUGAAGGCCUGGAGUACUAAAAAGAUAUUACAGGGCUCUUCCUGGGGAAUCUAGAAGGGGAGAGCAAAUCAAGAUGCAGGCUGCUUGGCUCCAAGCCCAGCAUUCCACUUUUAUUGCUCCAUAUCGGAUUCUAGAUAAGAUUUUAUUUAGAAAAUAAAAAAUAAUUACACAACUUGAAAAAGAAAAACUUUGGAGACUCUCUAUUUCAUAUAUGAGGAAGCACAAUCUAGUCUGUUAGCAUGCCAAUAUUAUACUAUUUAUUUUUAAACCAUUUAUGCAUUUGGCUCAGCAAAUACUUAUUGAACAUCUACUCAGUGUGUGGUGUGCUGCUCAGGUCUGAGGACAAUGCAAAAAACAAAACAAAACAAAACAAAUAGUCCUGCCCUUGAAGAAGAAAUAUCCCAGCGUAGCAGUGAUUGCUGGCUGUCUACUCAAAAUCCCUCCUUCCCUUCUUCCUUACCAUGUAAAGGCAAGCAUCAAUGUGCCCAAUGAAAAAGUAACACUUCCCAGUCACCCCUGUAGCUAGGGGUGGACAAUAAAAAGUAAGGUAAGGUAUUGGGUGAGACUUCCAGGAAAGCGCUAUAGAAGGAAACUAAACAGAGUAAAUCCAUCUUUUAUCCAUUGCUUUCUCUUCCUUCCUACUGUCUGAUAGGGAGACAUAAUUGCUGGAGUUCUCCUGGACAUGCGGCAACCUAGGGAUGGAAACCAUGUGUUGUGGAAGUUUAGAAAAAUAGAAGGGUCCUAGAAACAUGAUGACUUUGAAGUUGACACACCAGCACAGGACUGCCCAUUUAUUGAUUUCCUUUGUAUAAAUAAAAAUAAGCCUCCAACUUGUUUAAGUCACUGUUAUUAUUUUUUAAUAUUAAACAAAACCUAAUCCUAAUGGACAAGAAGACAAGUCAAGAGGCAAAUUCAGAAGGAUGAUGAAUUAUGAUAGGGAUAGAAUUUUUUAGAGAACCAUGAAGUUUAAGUGUAACCCAAGCACUGGGGUUUGGGAAAGGUUUCUUAGACAAGUGAUAUCUAAACGGAAUCCUGUAAACUGAGUUGAAGUCAGCCAAACAAAGAGUAUGGGAAACAGGGACAUGGAGCAGUGAGUGCAAAAACCUGGGGGGAUGGGGAGUAGGGAGAGGAUCCAAUGCCUUCUGGGAAUUUAAAGUAUUUCAGUAAAGAUAGUAGAAAGAGGGCAUGGGUGGGGGAGUGGUAAGGCAUGAGAAGGGGUCAUAAAGUGUCUUGCCUGACUAAAAAGGGAGGCCACUAAAGGAUUUUAAGCAGGGAGUAAUAUGAUAAUAUUUGGAUUUUAGGCAUAUCAUUCUAAAUUGAAGUGAUGGAAAACCAAUUAGGAGGCUGUUUUAAUAAUACUGUCAAAUUAGAGCCAAAAAAAAGGUUAAGAAAAGGGAAAUUUAAAGAAUGUGGUUAUUGAUCAAAUUGGAUGAAGCAGUUGAAUCCAUAAGAAAGA